GACGAACGCUGGCGGCGUGCUUAACACAUGCAAGUCGAACGGAAAGGCCCUGCGCUGGUGGGUUGCUCGAGUGGCGAACGGGUGAGUAACACUUGAGUAACCUGCCCUUGACUUUGGGAUAAAUUCAGGAAACUGGGGCUAAUACCGGAUAGGAGCUCCUGCGGCACGGUGGUGCUUGUAAAGUUUCGGCGGUUGGGGAUGGACUCGCGGCUUAUCAGCUUGUUGGUGGGGUAGUGGCUUACCAAGGCUUUGACGGGUAGCCGGCCUGAGAGGGUGACCGGCCACAUUGGGACUGAGAUACGGCCCAGACUCGUACGGGAGGCAGCAGUGGCACAUAUUGCACAAUGGGCGGAAGCCUGAUGCAGCAACGCCGCGUGCGGGAUGACAGACUUCGGGUUGUAACCGGAUUUCGCCUGGGACGAAGCGUGAGUGACGGUAAUGGGUGAAGAAGCACAGGCUAACUACGUG
rnacentral:rRNA from 1 species